rnacentral:rRNA from 1 species
AUUGAACGCUGGCGGCAUGCCUAACACAUGCAAGUCGAACGAAGGCUUCGGCCUUAGUGGCGCACGGGUGCGUAACGCGUGGGAAUCUGCCCUUGGGUUCGGAAUAACUCAGAGAAAUUUGAGCUAAUACCGGAUGAUGACGUAAGUCCAAAGAUUUAUCGCCCAAGGAUGAGCCCGCGUAAGAUUAGCUAGUUGGUGGGGUAAAGGCCUACCAAGGCGACGAUCUUUAGCUGGUCUGAGAGGAUGAUCAGCCACACUGGGACUGAGACACGGCCCAGACUCCUACGGGAGGCAGCAGUGGGGAAUAUUGGACAAUGGGCGAAAGCCUGAUCCAGCAAUGCCGCGUGAGUGAUGAAGGCCUUAGGGUUGUACAGCUCUUUUACCAGGGAUGAUAAUGACAGUACCUGGAGAAUAAGCUCCGGCUAACUCCGUGCCAGCAGCCGCGGUAAUGUCUAGCAUUG